rnacentral:rRNA from 1 species
UACAGAGGGUGCAAGCGUUGUCCGGAAUCACUGGGCGUAAAGAGCGUGUAGGCGGCCCGGUAAGUCCGCUAUAAAAGUCAAAGGCUCAACCUUUGAAUGUCAGUGGAUACUGCCGGGCUAGAGUCCGGAAGAGGCGAGUGGAACUCCUGGUGUAGCGGUGGAAUGCGCAGAUAUCAGGAAGAACACCAACGGCGAAGGCAGCUCGCUGGGACGGUACUGACGCUGAGACGCGAAAGCGUGGGGAGCGAACAGG